rnacentral:rRNA from 1 species
GAUGAACGCUGGCGGCGUGCUUAACACAUGCAAGUCGAACGGAAAGGCUCCUGCUUGCAGGGGUACUCGAGUGGCGAACGGGCGAGUAACACGUGGGUGAUCUGCCCUGCACUUCGGGAUAAGCCUGGGAAACUGGGUCUAAUACCGGAUAGGACCACAUUUUGGAUGGUGUGGUGGAAAGUUUUUCGGUGUGGGAUGAGCUCGCGGCCUAUCAGCUUGUUGGUGGGGUAAUGGCCUACCAAGGCGUCGACGGGUAGCCGGCCUGAGAGGGUGUACGGCCACAUUGGGACUGAGAUACGGCCCAGACUCCUACGGGAGGCAGCAGUGGGGAAUAUUGCACAAUGGGCGCAAGCCUGAUGCAGCGACGCCGCGUGGGGGAUGACGGCCUUCGGGUUGUAAACUCCUUUCGCUAGAGACGAAGCGCAAGUGACGGUACCUGGAGAAGAAGCACCGGCUAACUACGUG